AUCCGGACAGCGAUGGGCAUGCGCCGCAUUAGCUAGUUGGGGGGGGUAACGGCCCACCAAGGCGACGAUGCGUAGGGGUUCUGAGAGGAAGGUCCCCCCACAUUGGUACUGAGACACGGACCAAACUCCUACGGGAGGCAGCAGUGAGGAAUAUUGGUCAAUGGGCGGAAGCCUGAACCAGCCAAGUCGCGUGAGGGAAGACGGCCCUAAGGGUUGUAAACCUCUUUUGCCGGGGAGCAAAAGCGCCGUGCGCGGUGCUAUGAGAGUACCCGGAGAAAAAGCAUCGGCUAACUCCGUGCCAGCAGCCGCGGUAAUACGGAGGAUGCGAGCGUUAUCCGGAUUUAUUGGGUUUAAAGGGUGCGUAGGCGGACAGUUAAGUCAGCGGUCAAAACGGGCGGCUCAACCGCCUGCCGCCGUUGAAACUGGCAGUCUAGAGUGGGCGAGAAGUACGCGGAAUGCGCGGUGUAGCGGUGAAAUGCAUAGAUAUUGCGCAGAACUCCGAUUGCGAAGGCAGCGUACCGGCGCCCGACUGACGCUGAGGCACGAAAGCGUGGGGAUCGAACAGGAUUA
rnacentral:rRNA from 1 species